GAUCAUCCUGCAUGUGAUGUAUCAGAGAUCAUUUAUAGGACCUUGACCUGCUUCGGCUCAGGAACAUUUGAUAGCAUGUGCCUGGAGUGCGACAGAGAAGGACUUGGAUUUCCCUGGGCUGUAGAGAUGCUUUGUUUCACUGUAAAUGUGUGCGUGUCUGUGUGCGCGCAUAUCUAUUAUCCUUCUGAGAAAUACAGAGGCGCUCGGCUCCCACACUGGCCUCUGAUCAUCGCCCUGUAAAUGCAGCCUGUCACCUUCAGUGGUGUAAUGAUCACAGAAACAGUGACCUUGAUCUAUAGCAAGCCAUAACAGAGAAGAGAGAGCUUCUCCCACUCUCCGCACUCAGAUAUAACAGUGAAACACGGCAUACAGGGGAAACCAGAGGAGGGUUCAGAACAGGGCCAUUUGAUUGGCAAUAAAGGUUGUUGGAGUGUCUGUAAUGGAUGUGAGAUCUCUCCUGUUAUCAUCCAUUUGGAUAGAGCAUCGACUGAAGACCACGCCAUCACAGAUUGAAAACUCAGGGAGUGGCUGAUUAUGGUUUUAUCGCAUAGUCCAUUACACUGGUCAACACUGCACACUGUUUCUCAGAGCUGAGGCAGUGCUGGAUUAAUGGGGCAGCUCUUCUGUUCUCUGCAGCCCCCUCGGACAUACACACCUUUCCUUCCCUUCAGCAAGGCUUUUUGAAUAUGUCCCAGUUCCUGCCACGUUUAGCUUUAAAUAAGUUUCACCCUCCCUUAUAGUAGUAGUAGAAGGGCGCAGUGGGUUCGUGCACCCUAUGAGUUCUGCACUCAUCAUUUAUCAUCCCUCUCUUUUUUUUUCCAGAAACGAUGAACAAUAUUGUAUCAUAGACUGCUCUUGUGAUGCCCGAGGAACCUUUUGGAAAUUAUAUGUGCACCUCAUAUUAUGUUCCUUUGAUGUAUUCGGGUCCAGCCUAUUGGAGCAUGGCAGACCACCUGAGAGUUGUUUUCUGGACUCUGGGAGGUCACCUGACACCACUGCUCUGGAGAAGGUGCACAGCACUGGAUUUCACGAGGUCUCUCGAGGUCCCCGUCCAGGACAAUGAUGUAUUUAAGUCCCCUAAGAGGUCAGUUGGACUCUGUCCAGCACAUCACCUGCAAUCAAUAGUGUUGGUAAACCAGGCUCAACUGAGUGGCCAUGAAGACUCCCCUUAUAAACACGCUCACAGAGAGGCCGGCAUGGCCCAUUGCUUUGCUAAAACCGCAACCAGCAUCCUCCUGACACACACACAUAACACAUGCCACCACUCUGAAAACAAGUGUUGA
rnacentral:lncRNA from 1 species